CGGGCUCGUCGGUCACAACCAUCCAUGUUGACCGCGGUUCGUUCUCUUCCGAACGGCUCGGCUCUCACCACAUCCCGACUCAGAUCCACGACCACUGGGACACGCCGCCGCUCGCCGCUCGCGCCCACGGCAGCCGGGUUCACCCCCAAGCUCCACCCACCGCCGGAUCCCCCCGCCCCCAAGCUCCACCACCGCGGGAUCCGCUAAUCCACCGGCCAUGGCACGGGCUACACACCCGCGCGCCAUCAGGACGCCGCUCCCCCGUAUCCCAUGCGCCAUCGGGAAAUCCCACGACGGCCCAUGAGGAGCUGGCUCAGGCCGUGCGCUCGAGGCCGCCUUCGCUCUAGCACCGAUGGUUGUCUCGUACUCGGGCGGCCAUGCUCAUGUCCCACCACAACGCCCCCUCCCCGCCUCCAGCUCUGGAUCCAGAUGGCAUCAAGGCCACCACCGAGCCUCCCGAGCGUCUCCUCUUUCGUCCACGGGCUCAGCGCCCGCCCAAUCCCUCGCGCACGCCGACCCACACUGGAGCUCCAGCGCCUAUCCUUCUCCUUGUUCAUGUCUCCUCCUCAUCUGCAUCUUAGCCUUUUCUUUUUCCUUUGGUCAUGCAGGGAGCACGCAAUGAGCCUCGCCGCUGCCGCCAGCACCCGGACGUCGUCGCGCAGCCACCACCUCCGAGUUCGCCGGCCGCUGAAGCCCGUCCUCCCCUGCGUCCGGCACCGCCACUCUCUGGCUUGCCUCCAAGCGGAUUCGGCUGCCCUCGACCUUGUCUACUCCUCCCGUCGACAGAUUUGACGCACCGCCGCCGGAUCCGUCUUCAUCGGACUGGAUCCGCCAGAUCCGGCUGCCAUCGGCUGCCCCCGGCCUCGUCUACUCCUCCCCGUCGCCAGAUUUGACGCGCCGCCGCCGGAUUUGCCUCCAUCGGACCGGAUCCGUUCGAAUCAGGCUGCCCUCGACCGUCCCCGGCCCUCGACCCUCCCCGGCCUUGUCUGCUCUUCCAGUCGAUCUGAAAUACAAAACAUUUUUUUUCACAUACAUAAUGAACCGCGGGUUAAUUACUUAAAACCACAGGGCACUUUUUGCAAAAAGUGCAUGACGACGGACGACAGAAACCCAAUUCUCUUUAUUAUUGAAAAAAUUAUUACUAGCACAAAUGCCCGUGCGUUGCAACGGGAGAAAAUAAAUAUAUAUAAUACAUACCUAACUCAGUAAGCAUGUCAUCUUCAGCAGUGUCCGGUAACUGUGUUAUACUAUCCAAAUCCUUCUCAUACGUCCGGAAGAACAAUCCAGCCACUGUCCAGAAAGAAGAGGAGGAAAAAAAGCCAACCAAACCCCACUUUGUCCUCGUAUAACCAUACAGUUGCAAAUCACCAUUUCAGUAAAUAUGGGCAUCUUCUAUUCGUUCCCUUCCUUUAGGCUGGGUUAAUUCAUUUUCACUUCCUUUCCUUCGAUACCUUUUGUUGAUCCUCCAAACAGCUUACAUAUAUGAUGAACUGGUAAUCUAAAAAAAAUGAUGAACCGGUAGGAUUGUAUCUAAAAUAGGAGGUGAGACAGGACAUGAGGUUGUGAGUUCUUAUCCUGAAGCUUAUUGUCUUUGCUUCAUUCAGAUUCCACUAUUUUAGGAUCUUCGGUAGCAAAAAAGUUUAUGAUACCAUUGAGAAUCGUCUAUUCAUAAGAACAUGUGCAAGUCAAAAUUCA
rnacentral:rRNA from 1 species